rnacentral:lncRNA from 1 species
UAGGAGUCAUCCACACGAGCCCACGAAUCACAAUCAGAAGUCCUGAUCCAGGAAAUCAGCACAGUAUGCUAGUACUGUGCUGAUCCUUCUUCGAUGGUCGAUCAGAUGCCUCCUUCUUCUUGAUUUGGACUCUUUCAAAGAUGAGAAAUAGAAAAAAAAGUUUUAGAUGUGAGACACUCUCAGAAAACUCACAGAUGGAGGAAGAGAAGAGGUGAACUCAGCAACCCUAGAAGAAGACCCUCUUCUUCUUCUCUUUGCUUUAACCUAGACACUUAGUUUUGUGUCUAUUGUAUCUCCACACCCCAACAUUCUUUCUCCCU